GUACACUCCUACGGGAGGCAGCAGUGGGGAAUUUUGGACAAUGGGCGAAAGCCUGAUCCAGCAAUGCCGCGUGUGUGAAGAAGGCCUUCGGGUUGUAAAGCACUUUUGUCCGGAAAGAAAUCCUUGGCUCUAAUACAGUCGGGGGAUGACGGUACCGGAAGAAUAAGCACCGGCUAACUACGUGCCAGCAGCCGCGGUAAUACGUAGGGUGCGAGCGUUAAUCGGAAUUACUGGGCGUAAAGCGUGCGCAGGCGGUUUGCUAAGACCGAUGUGAAAUCCCCGGGCUCAACCUGGGAACUGCAUUGGUGACUGGCAGGCUAGAGUAUGGCAGAGGGGGGUAGAAUUCCACGUGUAGCAGUGAAAUGCGUAGAGAUGUGGAGGAAUACCGAUGGCGAAGGCAGCCCCCUGGGCCAAUACUGACGCUCAUGCACGAAAGCGUGGGGAGCAAACAGGAUUAGAUACCCUGGUAGUCCCAUGAU
rnacentral:rRNA from 1 species